AGCAGUAGGAGAAUCAAGACCAAGUGGACUAAGGGAAGGCAAAAAGAAGUGUCCAAAAAUUGAUUGUCUGUGAGUACAACAGCAUGCCACCAGUGGUGUAUUGUUCAUGAAGAAGCUUUGGUUUGUGAAUGAGGCAUCACUCUUUGGAUUAGAUAAGCUUGUGAAAAAUACGUAUAAGUGCGAUACUUUCGGGAGAAAGCCUGAGUGAGGCUUUGAGUUCCACGAAGCUGAAACACCAUCUACAGCGCGCAGAAAUGCUCUCGCUACAACCAAAGCCCACCUCAGGUUACAGCUGUCGGCAGAACUCGUGGGUCGCAGCUGUUUAAUCCCCGCAGAUGCUACAGCACAAUGAAGACUAGAAAAACUCGUAUAUGACGGGAAACCUGGUGCCUGUUGAGCUGUGAAAAGAGCUGCCAUUAGGAGCCCAAAAUAUUUCUGCCAGGUUCUUGUCACCCUGGAAAAACACUAGUGUUUAUAACCUCCCUGGCUGCACUGACUGGCUGUGUCACCAGAGGUUUUUGUAGCAUCCUUAAUGACCUGUUAGGAAGAAUCUUGUAAACAUUCUGUCAUAAUUUACAUCUCACAUGGAUUUGGAAGUCAGGAAGACAAGUAUGUGUUCUGGCAAAUGUUUCUUUUUUCCUUGGAAUGAGGCAAAGGACUUGCUGCAAACUGAUCACCAAUUCACUGCUGCCAGGAGUGCAUACUGGGUGAAAUGGAGAAGUCCUUUGAGAAAAGGCUGGGAUUUGUUUGAGUGAAAUUGUUGAAAGAAUUCUCUGGAGGCAACAUGGCCCUUCUGUCAAAGCAGGGCUGCAUUACCUACUGCUCAUCACCAUCCUCACUUCACUUGAAGCAGUGAGAUUGAUAUCCAUGGUGGGUGUCUCUAGAGAGGUAAUUUGGUGUAUUUCUUUUAAAUUCAUUUUCAGAUUAAGUUUCAAAGUUCCACACCUCACUCAUUCAGUAAAAGCUGCUUCCAGGUACAGAAGAACCAACACAAACCAAACUUCACCUCUACUGGUUUAAUGCAAUGGCUUUUUCACCAGAACUCUUCCAGAUCUGUGUUAAAGUUGUCACUAGGCAUGAGAAUUGCCAGUAAGACAUAACACAUUCAGUUUUCUUCCUAAACUGAAUUUUUUGACUGGCUACCAGAGAAUGAGUACAUGCAUACAAAAUUUUAAACACAUAUGCACACAUAUUUCUAAUGCAUUUAUUUGAAUAUAGAACUUUAUGGGUUACUUAAGAGCUAAUAAAAUUUUUGAAGUAUGACUGAAACAACAGUCUGUUUUUUUUAACAUGUAGUAUCAUUUUCAGGCAAGGCAAAGUGAAAGGAAAGAAAAUGUAUGUAAUAUGUGAUUAUGUUUCUCAUUUAUAUUUAUUCUACAUGAGAGGCAUAGAGGAACACACAGCAGAUAUUUUAAACCCAUCAGAUAACCUCAGUCAUUCUGAUGCUCUGGAAUGCCUUUUAUGACAUUUCUUCAAUUCAUCAGGCAGAUAAAGGAGGAGAUAUUCUUUCAUUGCUUAAUAAAGGUUUUAAAGAUGGAGAAAGAUUGGUUUGGUUUUGAGGGGAUAAAGAAAGACUGGUGAAAUAAAAUUAAAGGAAAAAGAAUACAGUUCAUUAGUGUCAGUAUAAGCCUCUUCUACCAAGUUUAAAGAAGGGCUUUAACACCUUCUGUUGAAUGAGGAUUUAGCUCUAUUUUCCCUUAGUGAUUGAAAAUAAGUAACUUGAGAAAACAAUGAAAGUUUCUUGCUUCUUUUGUUGUUAUUCUAUCCCCAUUAAAUUAUUCCUAAUAGCAUUUUAAAACAACUAAAAGCUGCAACAGUAUAUACAGAGCUUUAGUCUGGAAAUAUGUGAUGAUAGAACACCCAAGAAGUGUAAUAUGAAGUAUUUAUAUUCUAUUUUAUCCCUGAUUAUUCAUUACUGCUGACACCCUUUAAACAUAUUCAGUGAACAUGGCAAAACUUAUUUAGAGAGAACUGUAAAUGAGUUCUCCUAAUUUCAGCAAGAGUGUACAUUUUGUUGGGAAGACUGACAUUAAAGAUCUUAUACAUAAAACCUCAGCUUCUUAAGGAUGUCCCUUUGCACUGCACUCACUCCCAUUCAUUCUAACAUCUUUUCCCCUCCAAGAUUCUUUAACUUUUUUCUAAUCAUCUUCCAUUCAACCUUUCUCCUCUUGUUGCACAUUGAAGCCUUAGCCCCUAAAAGCCAUGAUCUCCUUUAACUCUGGCUCUGGUAAACUAUUGAAUAAUCCUCCUUUCUGAAGGGCUUCCUUCCCUUCUGAAUUGCUGAAGAAUGUCCCUUCCUCUUCUCUUAGCAUUUUCUGUUUCUAAUAGUCUGUGCACUGUGGUCCCUCUACAAAUUGAAAUUCAAUUCUCUGUGUCCCUUGCCUUCCUCCAUGAACAGAAGCCUUUUGCUUCUGUUUACUAAAAGUUUUGACAUUUGUCUCUUUCUGAGGGUGAUGUCCUUCCUCAGUUUUCUUGUCUCAAUUUCUUCUGAUGAAUCCUGUUAUAAAACCUAUUAAUAUAGAUAUAGAUCGAAUUCUAGAUUUAUAUAUAAAUUUAUACAUAUAUGAAUUUAUAUGUAUACCGAUAAAAUAAAAACACAUUGUAAAUAUAUAUUUUCUUGUCUUUAUUCUAUUUACAGGCUAAACAAUAAAGAG